rnacentral:rRNA from 1 species
CACCGCGGUUAUACGAGAGGCUCAAAUUGAUAUUCAAACGGCGUAAAGUGUGAUUAGAAGAAAAAAAGAAAUAAAGCCAAACAACCCAUAAGCUGUCAUACGCUAAUAGGGCUAGAAGAACUACAACGAAAGUAGCUUUAAAAACCUUGAACUCACGACUAUUAAGAAA